rnacentral:rRNA from 1 species
UACGUAGGGUGCAAGCGUUAUCCGGAAUUAUUGGGCGUAAAGAGCUCGUAGGCGGUUUGUCGCGUCUGCUGUGAAAACUGGAGGCUCAACCUCCAGCCUGCAGUGGGUACGGGCAGACUAGAGUGCGGUAGGGGAGAUUGGAAUUCCUGGUGUAGCGGUGGAAUGCGCAGAUAUCAGGAGGAACACCCAAUGGCGAAGGCAGAUCUCUGGGCCGUAACUGACGCUGAGGAGCGAAAGCAUGGGGAGCGAACGG